ACAUGCCUACAACAUAGUGUUAAUGCAUCAGAUCCCAUUAGAACUUUGCAGUUAAGCGCGCUCAUGUUAGAUUAGUACUGGGAUGGGUGCCCACCUGGGAAGUCCUAGUGUUUUACAUGCC
rnacentral:rRNA from 1 species